rnacentral:misc_RNA from 1 species
AACAGACUUGUCACUAACAAAGCUCCAGCAUAAGUCUCAAUCAAUUGGUUAGAGAAAGCCUGACUUUAAACCCAACUGCUCACUGGAUACAUUCAUCUGCAUUAUCAUUUUUAGUUGAAUCUCCUAUAAUUCUAGGGCACAUGUGCAGAAUGAAGCUGCUGCUUGCGGUUGUGCCAUUAAUGGAUUUGAUUAUGAAUCAACUCCCACUUGAAAAGGAAACAUCUUCCUCCAAAAUUCACCCCACCUGUUAUGCUUUAUUAUCAUGUCUUCUUCUUUGCAUCAUAUGAUUUCAAUACAGAGUCUGCCUUUUUCAAUCACUAACCUCACAGGUCACCAGUUGCCUACAAAAUUUCAGUGGCUCUUACCCAACCAGAUUAAAGAAACUCAAAUUGAAUAAUGCUAUUGAACAAGUUAAAAUCUUUAUCCAGAAUUUGCAAUUCCAAACUUAUCAUAGUAAAGCUAAUCAAAGAUCACUGCAAAUUUGAAAAAUUGGGUUCCUUAGCAGCAAUCAGAAAUCAUUUAUUCAACUAAGUCUUUAAUAACAGAAACUUAUCCUUGAGGAUAAGGGCUAAGAGGCAUAUGCAUUAUCUUGCUAUGACAUGAAGAACAAUAAAAGCAACCUUAGAAACAAUAUUAAUUAAGCAAUUCUUGGCAGAGAGUAGCUUGGAGACAAGCCAGUAGUAGUUCUAUGAUAUGCUUUCUCAAAACGCUUCAAUGAAUUGGGAUUCACCUGCAAGAACAGAUAAUUCCCAGCAAAAAGAUCACCAAAGUUAGCCUGACUUUCUUUCCAUCUCUUCAGCAAUUUAGCAUAAGCAGCAUAAACAAGCUUAACUUUCCUGCUCAGGAACCUUCUCAAACUUGGAAUCCUAACCCUAAAUCUCUUUCUCUGAUGCACACUCUUAAACCUGUGCCAACUUCUAGAUGAUGGUCUUCCCACGAGUCUCUCUCCUUCGUCAUAGUCACCAAACAGAUCAUCAUGUUUCAGUCUGUGGUAGGGAAUGCUGGAGGCAGAGGCCAUCUCCAGGGCAGCAGAAAUGAUGAGUUUUUGAGGGAAGGAAAAUGAAGAUAAAUGUAUAGAUUAGUUUAUGAGAAGUAUAUAAGAUGGUUUGUCCUUUUCGACCCCACAGAAUGCUGUGGACUUGUUUUAUUGGUUUUCUCUAGCCUAUAUAUGAAUGAGAAUUGGAGUUUCAGAAACAGUUGAGUGCAUUGAAUGUUGU